AACCCAGGAGUCCUUUGUGUUUGCAGACAGGAGCCAUGGCCGGGGCUGGGAGCCCGGUGCGGAGGCUGCUCCAGCCCUGCAGCGCGGAGCCCCCACAAAAGCAUCUGGCCCCUCUGGGAAAAGAGAGAGAAGCAGCCAAACCCCAGGAGCAGCAGCAAAGCGAGGAGCUGCUGAAACAGACGGAAGCCGAGAA